ACAAACCACCUAGCUGUUCUGUGGUGUAGCCAUUCUUUUAUUCCUUUACUUUCUUAAUAAACUUGCUUCCACUUUACUGUUAAAAAAAAAAAAAAUCAAACAACCCCAUGAGGGACUUCAAUCACAUCAAUGUAGAACUCAGCCUUCUUGGAAAGAAAAAAAAGAGGCUCCGGGUUGACAAAUGGUGGGGUAACAGAAAGGAACUGGCUACCGUUCGGACUAUUUGUAGUCACGUACAGAACAUGAUCAAGGGUGUUACACUGGGCUUCCGUUACAAGAUGAGGUCUGUGUAUGCUCACUUCCCCAUCAACGUUGUUAUCCAGGAGAAUGGGUCUCUUGUUGAAAUCCGAAAUUUCUUGGGUGAAAAAUACAUCCGCAGGGUUCGGAUGAGACCAGAUGUUGCUUGUUCAGUAUCUCAAGCCCAGAAAGAUGAAUUAAUCCUUGAAGGAAAUGACAUUGAGCUUGUUUCAAAUUCAGCGGCUUUGAUUCAGCAAGCCACAACAGUUAAAAACAAGGAUAUCAGGAAAUUUUUGGAUGGUAUCUAUGUCUCUGAAAAAGGAACUGUUCAGCAGGCUGAUGAAUAAGAUCUAAGAGUUACCUGGCUACAGAAAGAAGAUGCCAGAUGACACUUAAGACCUACUUGUGAUAU
rnacentral:lncRNA from 1 species